UGGCAUCCUAAUAACCUUGGAAAGUGGACUUUGUUUUUUUGGGACCUCCAGGUUUAAGUAAUGGAAGGACAGGUCCAGGAUUUGACAGACCUGGUUUCACGGCUGCAAGCUGAAAAUGAGAGGCUGCGGCAGCAACAAGCAGCAGCUUCUGGCCCUGGUGCAGCACCUGCCACUUUGGCUGGGCCUUCGACCAAUCCUCCCGUGGUUGAGAGACUGUUGUAUGUCCCUAGAGACAGAAAAUGUCCCAUGUUUAGGGGACGGACUGGUAUUGGGCUUACGGAGUGGCUUGAGGAGGUGCAGGCUUGCAUGAGGACCCGCCAUUUAGGUGUAGCCGAUCAGGCGUUCUUUUUGUUCGAUCACCUGGAGGGAGAGGCCCGCGACGAAAUUAAAUAUCGCCCUGGUUCCGUCAGGGAGGACCCGGCUAGGGUCAUUGCAGUGCUGCAGGAAUUAUACGGAUGCACUGACUCUUAUGUUGCCUUGCAGGAGGCAUUUUUUUCUCGUCGGCAGCAGGAAGGUGAGACACUGCAUGAAUACUCCCUGGCUUUAAUGAGCCUAAUGGCCUCCGUUAAGGGAGCUGCACCUAGUGGUGUUCCAAAUGCAGAGAUUUUAUUGCGGGAUCAAUUUGUGGAACAAGUUUUUGACUGUGCCCUACGCCGUGAAUUAAAACAGUUUGUGCGCCGACAGCCCACCGCUACGUUGCUGGAGGUUAGGGGUGAGGCAAUGCAGUGGGAGCGGGAGGGUCUCCCUGGAGGCGUACGGAGUCGUAGUUACUCCGUCCCCUCUGUCCCUGGGUUCCAGUGUGGCGUUGGGGGUAGUUCCCAAUCAGUCCCUCCGGUGUCCGAACUAUCGGAGAUAAAGGAGAUGUUAAGGCUCCAACAAGAGCAGAUCCUCCAGAUGUCUCAGGACCUGCUACGCCUGCAGAAUCCUAGCCAGGCCAGUCGUCCCCCUCGUCGUGGUCCCAUUAUUUGCAGAAGGUGUCAGCAGCCUGGGCAUUUUGCCCAGGAUUGUGAUGGCGUUCGGGUGGCUCCUUCGGCCCGCCCAGUCUCGCCUACCCAAAGGUCCCGCCAGCGAAAUAAUAACACCCCAUCACCAUCGGAAAACUAAUGCCCACCGAGUUGUUGAGCCACAGCUCGGAGGGGGCAGCCGCUGGCUCCAAGGGGGAGUUUGAUGGACUUCUGGCAUCUUGUCCUCAUUUACAGGUGUGCAUGGGGGGUCGUUCCAUUUCGUGUUUAGUGGAUACUGGGUCCAUGGUAUCCACCAUCACGGAAAGUUUCUUCAAGCAGAAUUUUGAGCCAUGGGGACCAGAGCGACUUCGCUCCUGUCAGUGGCUACAAUUGAGGGCAGCUAACGGGCUGGCUAUACCAUAUCUUGGCUACUUGGAGUUGGAAGUGGGACUUUGUGGCAAGUUAUUGCCACAAUGUGGUGUACUAGUAGUUAAAGAUAUUCCCGGUGGAGGACCUUUACAGGCGCCGGGCGUUUUGGGGAUGAACAUCAUCCAGCGCUGUUACCAAGAGCUCUUUGCCCAGUAUGGCAGUGCCCUGUUUGGACAAUCUGAGGUGUCCACAGCCCCAGAUGUAAUUUUUGGGGCCCUGAAACAGUGCCAGCAAGCUCAAGCUACGGUAACCCCCAGCAUGUUUAAUGUAAGGACACGUGGUCGAAAGGCUCGUUGGAUUUCUGGUGGUGUCCUGGCUAUCGUUGCUGCCACUUGUUCCGAGCAGUGUGCUGGUUCAGCGGUGUUGUUUGAGCCAUGUAGCUCAGGCCUCCCUGCCGGCCUUUUAGCAACUCCAUCACUCGUAAGGGUGGAAAGGGGGACAGCCUACAUCCCAAUCAUCAAUGUGGGGUCCACCGCUGUGAGACUCCACCCACGUACCCUGGUGGGUACGGUGGCUCCAGCUGGAGUGGUAAGUUUACCCAAGGAAGUGACUGAGGUACAAUCGGAAGCCGCUGUGGUGGCUGCUCAUGCAGCAUCCACCCUGCCUCUGGCUCAGCUGGAGUCAGUAGACCUCUCUGCACUUUCGGCGGGAGAGCAGGAGAAAGUCCGGGCCCUCCUAGGGAAGUAUUUAACUGUCUUCUCACUGCAUGAGGGGGACCUGGGUUGCACAAGCCUAAUCACUCAUGAGAUUCCCUUGGUGGAUGAUGCUCCAGUCCGGCAGCGCUAUAGGCGCAUUCCCCCAUCGGAUUAUGUGGCGGCUAAGGAGCAUAUUAACAAUUUACUCCAGUCUCAGGUGAUUCGUGAGAGUAGCAGCCCCUUUGCGUCCCCAAUUGUUUUGAUCCGCAAAAAAGAUGGUGGUCUCCGGCUUUGCGUGGAUUACAGGCAGUUGAAUAGCAGGACUAGGAAAGAUGCUUUUCCACUUCCUCGAAUAGAGGAAUCCUUGGAUGCCUUGUCCGGAGCUCGUUGGUUCUCCACUCUGGACUUAGCCAGCGGUUACCAUCAGGUGGCGGUGGCAGAGGCAGAUCGUCCUAAGACCGCGUUCUGCACACCAUUUGGCCUUUUUGAGUGGAACCGCAUGCCCUUUGGCCUUUGCAACGCCCCCAGCACCUUUCAAAGGCUGAUGCAGCGAAUGUUUGGCGAGCAACAAGGUCAGUCCUUGCUUUUGUACCUGGAUGACAUCAUUGUCUUUUCUUCGACAAUCGAGCAGCAUCUGGAGCGAUUAGAGCUGGUACUUGAGAGACUGCAGCUCGAAGGGCUUAAGGUUAAGCUCGCCAAAUGUGCCUUUUUUCAGCACCAGGUGCAUUAUCUGGGUCAUGUGAUUUCGGACCAGGGAGUCUCUACAGACCCUGGCAAGGUGGAAGCGGUGGCUAAUUGGGAGCCCCCUACUACAGUGUUCCAGCUGCGAUCGUUUAUUGGCUUUGCCAGCUAUUAUAGACGUUUUGUGGAGGGAUUUGCCAAGUUGGCUGCACCGCUGCACCGGUUAGUGGCAGAGCUGGAGGGAAACAAGGUCAGAAAAAAGUCUGCACGUGGUUUAACUAACCACUGGACGGAGGAAUGCCAGCGCAGCUUUGAGGCUUUAAAGGCUAAGCUGACUACAACACCAGUCCUGGCGUAUGCAGACUUCUCCCGCCCUUUCAUCUUAGAGGUCGAUGCUAGCAACGGAGGCCUUGGAGCUGUUCUUUCCCAAGAACAAGAGGGUAAGGUGCGGCCAAUAGCCUACGCUAGUCGAGGCUUGCGGCCUACCGAGAGGAACCCAGUCAAUUAUAGCUCCAUGAGAUUGGAAUUUUUGGCACUAAAAUGGGCAGUAGCUGAGAAAUUCAGGGAGUACCUUUUGGGACAGAAGUGUAUUGUGUACACUGACAACAACCCCCUCAGCUAUCUGUCCACCGCCAAGCUUGGUGCCAUGGAGCAACGGUGGGCAGCGCAGCUGGCGGCGUUUGACCUGGAGAUAAGGUACCGCUCGGGCCGCAGCAACAGAAAUGCAGAUGCUCUGUCAAGGCAGCACUUUCCAGACAUGCAGGCCUGGAGAGAUGUUCUUCCGGGUAGCUGCUUGCCCAUGUCGUUGCAGCAGGUGCAACAGACGGAGACUGUCGGUACAACCCAAGCCACCAUGGUUGCCCUGCCCCAUCACAGCCCCUCUGACAUGGCUUCACUUCAAGGGGCUGAUCCUGUUCUAAAGGAGUUUCUGCCUUUCUGGGAACGUCAGACUCGCCCAAGCCCAGAGGAGCGUAGGCAGUUGUCCUCACCCACGCUGGCAUUGCUUCGACAGUGGAACCGGCUGGUUGAGCAAGGUGGGGUUCUGUACAGAAGGGUCUUUCGAGAUGAUGGUGGGGAGGCAGUGUUGCAAAUCCUGCUUCCUGGCUCGAUCAGGGAGGAAGUGUUGACGGCAGUCCAUCAGCAGCAUGGUCAUCAGGGUGUAGACAGGACCCUUGACCUGCUACGGCAGCGCUGUUAUUGGCCUGGUAUGUCAGCUGAGGUGGCAGAGUGGUGCAGUCAGUGUGAGCGCUGCCAAGUAGCUAAAGUCACUCGUCCCGCAGCCCGCGCCCCCAUGGGUCAUUUGCUGGCCUCCAAGCCCAAUGAGAUUUUGGCUAUGGAUUUUUCGGUGCUGGAGCCAACUACCAGUGGCAUAGAGAAUGUUCUUGUCAUUACUGAUAUCUUCAGUAAAUACACCAUGGCGGUUGCGACUCGGGAUCAGCGUGCUGCAACAGUGGCCCAGGUCUUGGUCACAGAAUGGUUUUCAAAAUUUGGCGUUCCAGCUCGGAUACAUUCCGAUCAAGGUCGGAGCUUUGAGAGCGCCCUCAUUCAACAACUCUGUGACCUCUAUGCAGUAGAGAAGUCUCGCACCACACCUUACCACCCAGAGGGUAAUGGUCAGUGUGAACGCUUCAACAGAACCCUCCACGACCUUCUCAGAACUCUACCAGUGUCCCGGAAGCGGGACUGGAACGUGUGCCUGCCGCAGCUCUUGUAUUCUUAUAACACGACUCCCCAUCAUUCAACGGGUGAGUCACCAUUUUUUCUGAUGUUUGGACAGGAGCCAAGGCUUCCAGUUGACUUCCUGUUAGGAAGAGUGCAAGAGCCAGUGGAGGGCACUGUGCAGGAGUGGGUCCAGGAACACAAAGCUCGGCUAAAACUGGCUUUUGAGGGUACCAGAGAGAAGCUGCUUGCAGCUGCUGAUCGCAGGAAGAGAGGUCAUGAUGAGGGGGUAAGGGACCCUCCUUUGAGUGAGGGGCAGUUGGUCUUAGUGCGUGACCUGGGGUUUAGAGGACGACAGAAAAUCAGGGAUUUGUGGGAUCACAGGGUGCACAGAGUAUUAAAGGCACCCAGAGAGGGGGGCUCAGUGUACACCAUUUCCCCCAGGGAUGAACCCUGUACACCCCGACAAGUCCAUCGGUCCUUACUGAAGGCCGUGGUCAGGCGAGGACCAGACAAAGAGUUGGCUGGUUGCCCUCCGAGCCAACCCCCACAAAGUUCUUUCUCCCAAGAGGAUCCAAUAGAGAACGGGGACUGGUUUGUUCUAAGGGAGGACCGCACUAGUGAGGCGGUAGAGGACAACCAACCUGAACUGCAUCUUGGACAGGUGGCACCAGUCUUCUCUGAGGCUGAUUCCGCGGCAGCUGCUGUACCCUGUGCUUCCGGAGUCACUUUACAAGCUGACCGGGAUAGGAGUAGCGUGCCAGUGCGCCGGACGUCACGGCCCACUGCUGGACAGCACUCCAACCCUCACCGGCUUCCUCGGGCCGUAGGGGAGGAGCAAAGCUCCUCCUCAGUAAGCAUAUCAUCUGCUGUUGCUUUUAGACCAUGGCUGUAGUUUACUUUGAAUCAUCGUCGGGUCGACGAUGCAUUUUGUGGGGGAGGAUUGUGGCAGGAUUAAUUGGCUCAGGUGCUGUAGGGCAGAGGAUUACUAGCAGUGGCCUCAUGGGGCGCUAUAAAGGGCAAAGAAGCCUUCACUCGGCCAGGGGCAGCAUUUGGCCAUUGGAACCGCCCACUUCCUGUUUUCACACCUCCGGCUAGCCUCACAGCUCCGGAUGAGACCUGCAGGCACAGAUUGAGCAAAAUACAGCCUCUGCAAUCGAGCGCGCCUCCCAGGUGACGAACAGUCUGUCUGCGCCGGGGACUUUCUGACGCUCCCACCUGCUGAACAGCUGCUGCUUUUUAUAUAUUGAAUUUUAGAAUUAUUUUAAGGAACUGUCACCGCUCGUGAUCAGAAUCCCUGUAGACUCCUGACCAGGGUUCUGCCGGGCCCGGGUGCUCUUCAGCUGCCUUUGAGCCUGAGCAACGGAGGACUAACGGGGCGUCACGCCUGAAUCCUCCACCAACGAGAAUAAAAGCUCGGCCGCGCUCCGUUCAUUGAGCAGCACCCUACGGGCGGACUUACUCUCACGAGAGUUUCUUUUAUUUUGUUUUUAGCAUUUUUACACAAUUCUUUUAGACCUGUGUUUUAACUGGAUUUUAUUGUGUGAUCCACCUUUGUUUCCCCCCUCCCUCAGUGCUGAGGACUCAGGUGCCAGCCCAGAAUUCUAGGUGGAGGCUAUCCCCCCAGUUUGGAGUGACGUGUCCUUGGGUGAAGGGUUCACAGUGUGUGUGGUCUGCAUCACUGCCAGCUCCUGGAAGCCGUGUGUCCAUCCAGCUGCAGAUCAAGUACAGGCAGAGAAACGGACAGACAGUGCUCA